rnacentral:rRNA from 1 species
AGAGUUUGAUCAUGGCUCAGGACGAACGCUGGCGGCGUGCCUCAAACAUGCAAGUCGAGCGUGGCUGCAUUCUCUCGCAAGAGAGGAUGUAGUCUAGCGGCGAACGGGUGAGUAACACGUGGGGAACUUGCCCUCCAGACGGGGACAACCUCGGGAAACCGGGGCUAAUACCGGAUACGUUCACCGGGUCGCAUGGCUUG